CAUCUCAUGGCGUAGUGGUUAACGCGCCCCGACUAGAGAUCGGGGAGUCGUGAGUUCGAUUCUCACUGAGAAGA
rnacentral:tRNA from 1 species